rnacentral:rRNA from 1 species
UGAGGAAUAUUGGUCAAUGGACGCAAGUCUGAACCAGCCGAGUAGCGUGCAGGAUGACGGCCCUAUGGGUUGUAAACUGCUUUUAUAUGGGGAUAAAGUGGGGAACGUGUUCCCUUUUGCAGGUACCAUAUGAAUAAGGACCGGCUAAUUCCGUGCCAGCAGCCGCGGUAAUACGGAAGGUUCGGGCGUUAUCCGGAUUUAAUGGGUUUAAAGGGAGCGUAGGCCGUUUGGUAAGCGUGUUGUGAAAUGUAGGAGCUCAACUUCUAGAUUGCAGCGCGAACUGUCAGACUUGAGUGCGCACAACGUCGGCGGAAUUCAUGGUGUAGCGGUGAAAUGCUUAGAUAUCAUGAAGAACUCCGAUUGCGAAGGCAGCUUACGGGAGCGCAACUGACGCUGAAGCUCGAAGGUGCGGGUAUCUAACAGG